GGCAACCCUGAUCCAGCCAUGCCGCGUGUGUGAAGAAGGCCUUAGGGUUGUAAAGCACCUUCAGUAGGGAGGAAGGCCCAGUAGUUAAUACCUGCAGGGAUUGACGUUACCUACAGAAGCAGCACCGGCUGACUCCGUGCCAGCAGCCGCGGUGAUACGGAGGGUGCAAGCGUUAAUCGGAAUUACUGGGCGUAAAGCGCGCGUAGGCGGUUUGUUAAGUGAGAUGUGAAAGCCCAGGGCUCAACCUUGGAACUGCAUCUCAUACUGGCAGGCUAGAGUACGGUAGAGGGGGGUAGAAUUCCA
rnacentral:rRNA from 1 species